UACGAAGGGGGCUAGCGUUGCUCGGAAUCACUGGGCGUAAAGGGCGCGUAGGCGGAUCUUUAAGUCGGGGGUGAAAGCCUGAGGCUCAACCUCAGAAUUGCCUUCGAUACUGGAGAUCUUGAGUCCGGAAGAGGUAAGUGGAACUGCGAGUGUAGAGGUGAAAUUCGUAGAUAUUCGCAAGAACACCAGUGGCGAAGGCGGCUUACUGGUCCGGUUCUGACGCUGAGGCGCGAAAGCGUGGGGAGCAAACAGG
rnacentral:rRNA from 1 species